GUAUAUAUAUAUACAACAUAUGGUACUAACUGUUAGCUUAAAUGGGUCAGUAUCUUAUCCUGUAACGGGAGGUCAUGUUGGGUCGAGUCAUGUUCGAAGUGGCAUGAGACUGGUUGGACCGAGUCACAAUCGAGACCCGUAGGCACUGUAUUUAUACGCUUUAAGUGAAUUGGUUGCGUAUUUCUUACAGCUCGAGCUUUUGGGAUUAAUGGUUCGUGCCAACGAUCCGACAGUAACUACUUAUCUAGAGUUUAAAUCAGGUGAAACACGCACUGCAAAUUAAAGAUUGAGUAUAUAAUAUUGCCAUGGCUACUAUACUAUUAUGAGUAUUGGAGCCCUCGUACUCAUAAGUUGUUUUCAAUGAUGGAGCUUCCGAAUCGACGAUCCACUCCAUUAAAUAUGAUAUAGAGUAUUUGAAACUUUUAGAAAAUAAAUUUCGUAAAUUUUCGAAAUCAUAAUAAAGUCCAUCAAGUGGGCAUAAAAUGAACGGUCAAAAUCGAACGACGUCCUAAAAAAGGAUGAUCAGAUCCUUCAAUUCAAGAUCGGAGUUAUUGAUCUUUAUCUAUGUAGUGAAUAGAAUUUUCUAUCAAAAAUUCAACAAAUUCCGAUUCUUUUACACCGUUAAACUAGCAAGUAUCCCAUACCGGCCGUUAAAAAUUGUCAAAUUUGUGACCUCUUGAUCGUACGGUAAAUGAUGUCGAAAAUUUAUAAAAUUUGAUUUCUAGAAGUUUUAAAUGCUGUAAAUAACGUUUAACGGUGUGGAUCGUCGAUUCGGAAGCUCUAUCAUUGAAAACAACUUAUGAGUACAAGGGCGAUCGUACUCAUAAUAGUAUAGUAGCCGGACCCUAUAUAAUAUAUAUGUAGUCGGAAAAUUUUCACCUUAUGAUAUAUAUAUAUAUAUAUAUAUAUAUAUAUAUAUAUAUAUAUAUAUAUAUAUAUAUAUAUAUGUAUAUU
rnacentral:lncRNA from 1 species